AGAGGAGCCGGAGAGGAGGCGUGCGGGUGGGGACUGCGGCGCACUCGAGUCAGCGCACGCACCUUCUCCCCCCUUUGUUUCGGGGGUCGACCGGCCGCUCUCCUCCCCAAGUCUGAAUUCUUCAGAAGGGGCGGAGGGCCGCCGAGUCUCGGCUGGGAAGAUGCCCUUGGAACUGACUCAGAGCCGGGUGCAGAAGAUCUGGAUCCCGGUCGACCACCGCCCCUCGCUGCCUAGAUCCUGUGGGCCGAAGCUCGCCAACUCGCCCACGGUGAUCGUCAUGGUGGGCCUCCCUGCCCGCGGCAAGACCUACAUCUCCAAGAAGCUGACCCGCUACCUCAACUGGAUCGGCGUCCCCACGAAAGUGUUCAACGUCGGGGAAUACCGGCGGGAGGCCGUCAAGCAGUACAGCUCCUACAAUUUCUUCCGGCCAGACAACGAGGAGGCCAUGAGAGUCCGCAAGCAGUGUGCGCUGGCUGCCCUGAGAGACGUGAAAAGUUACCUCACGAAGGAAGGGGGCCAAAUUGCGGUUUUUGAUGCCACCAACACUACUAGAGAGAGGAGACACAUGAUCCUUCACUUUGCCAAAGAAAAUGAUUUCAAGGUGUUUUUCAUUGAGUCUGUGUGCGAUGACCCUACAGUCGUGGCCUCAAACAUCAUGGAAGUGAAGCUCUCCAGCCCGGAUUACAAAGACUGCAACUCAGCAGAAGCUAUGGACGAUUUCAUGAAGAGAAUUAAUUGCUACGAAGCCAGCUACCAGCCCCUCGACCCUGACAAAUGUGACAGGGACCUGUCCCUGAUCAAGGUGAUCGACGUGGGCCGGCGGUUCCUGGUGAACAGGGUGCAGGACCAUAUCCAGAGCCGCAUCGUGUACUACCUGAUGAACAUCCACGUGCAGCCGCGCACCAUCUACCUGUGCCGGCACGGCGAGAGCGAGCACAACCUCCAGGGCAAGAUCGGAGGGGACUCGGGCCUGUCCAGCAGGGGCAGGAAGUUUGCCAGCGCCCUGAGCAAGUUCGUGGAGGAGCAGAACCUGAAGGACCUCAAGGUGUGGACCAGCCAGCUGAAGAGCACCAUCCAGACGGCCGAGGCCCUGCAGCUGCCCUACGAGCAGUGGAAGGCGCUCAACGAGAUCGACGCGGGCGUCUGUGAGGAGAUGACCUACGAGGAGAUCAGAGACACGUACCCCGAGGAGUACGCGCUGCGGGAGCAGGACAAGUACUACUACCGCUAUCCCACCGGGGAGUCCUACCAGGACCUGGUCCAGCGCUUGGAGCCGGUGAUCAUGGAGCUGGAGCGGCAGGAGAACGUGCUGGUUAUCUGCCACCAGGCUGUGCUGCGCUGCCUCCUGGCCUACUUCCUGGACAAGAGCGCAGAAGAGAUGCCAUACCUGAAGUGCCCCCUUCACGCCGUCCUGAAGCUGACGCCCGUCGCAUAUGGUUGCCGCGUAGAAUCCAUCUACCUGAAUGUGGAGUCGGUGAGCACACACCGGGAGAGGUCAGAGACUGUCAACCCAGUGCUUUGCCCG
rnacentral:lncRNA from 1 species